CCUACGGGAGACAGCAGUGAGGAAUAUUGGUCAAUGGACGAGAGUCUGAACCAGCCAAGUAGCGUGAAGGAUGACUGCCCUAUGGGUUGUAAACUUCUUUUAUAUGGGAAUAAAACGUUUCACGUGUGGGAUUUUGUAUGUACCAUAUCAAUAAGGAUCGGCCAACUCCGUUCCAGCAGCCGCGGUAAUACGGAGGAUCCGAGCGUUAACCGGAUUUAUUGGGUUUAAAGGGAGCGUAGGUGGAUUGUUAAGUCAGUUGUGAAAGUUUGGGGCUCAACCGUAAAAUUGCAGUUGAAACUGGCAGUCUUGAGUACAGUAGAGGAGAGCGGAAUUCGUGGUGUAGCGGUGAAAUGCUUAGAUAUCGCGAAGAACUCCGAUUGCGAAGGCAGUUCACUGGACUGCAACUGACACUGAGGCUCGAAAGUGUGGGUAGCAAACAGGAUUAGAUACCCUGGUAGUC
rnacentral:rRNA from 1 species